rnacentral:rRNA from 1 species
UACGUAGGGUGCUAGCGUUAUCCGGAUUUAUUGGGCGUAAAGAGCUCGUAGGCGGCUUGUUGCGUCUGCUGUGAAAUCCCGGGGCUUAACCCCGGGCGUGCAGUGGAUACGGGCAGGCUGGAGGCAGGCAGGGGAGAAUGGAAUUCCCGGUGUAGCGGUGAAAUGCGCAGAUAUCGGGAGGAACACCGGUGGCGAAGGCGGUUCUCUGGGCCUGUUCUGACGCUGAGGAGCGAAAGCGUGGGGAGCGAACAGG